GUCCAGCUGAUGAGUCUCAAAUAGGACGAAACGCGCAUCAGUCUGGAU
rfam:Schistosoma rodhaini strain Burundi genome assembly, scaffold: SROB_scaffold0000236